rnacentral:tRNA from 1 species
GUCUUUUUAGUAUAAAGAGUAUAUAUGGCUUCCAACUAUAAGGUCUAAUUUUUUUUUAGAAAAGACA